AGAGCGAACGCUGGCGGCAGGCCUAAUACAUGCAAGUCGAACGAGCCCUUCGGGGCUAGUGGCGGACGGGUGAGUAACACGUGGGAACGUGCCUUUUGGUUCGGAACAACUCAGGGAAACUUGAGCUAAUACCGAAUGUGCCCUUCGGGGGAAAGAUUUAUCGCCAUUAGAGCGGCCCGCGUCUGAUUAGCUAGUUGGUGAGGUAAAGGCCCACCAAGGCUACGAUCAGUAGCUGGUCUGAGAGGAUGAUCAGCCACACUGGGACUGAGACACGGCCCAGACUCCUACGGGAGGCAGCAGUAGGGAAUCUUGCGCAAUGGGCGAAAGCCUGACGCAGCCAUGCCGCGUGAAUGAUGAAGGUCUUAGGAUUGUAAAAUUCUUUCAGCGGGGACGAUAAUGACGGUACCCGCAGAAGAACGCCCCGGCUAACUUCGUGCCAGCAGCCGC
rnacentral:rRNA from 1 species